rnacentral:rRNA from 1 species
CCUACGGGCGGCAGCAGUAGGGAAUAUUGCGCAAUGGGCGAAAGCCUGACGCAGCAACGCCGCGUGAACGAGACGGGCUUCGGGGUGUAAAGUUCUGUUAGUGGGGACGAAAAAUGACGGUACCCACAGAGGAAGCACCGGCUAACUCCGUGCCAGCAGCCGCGGUAAUACGGAGGGUGCAAGCGUUGUCCGGAAUCAUUGGGCGGAAAGAGGUCGUAGGCGGCACGGAAAGUAAGGUGGUAAAGGCGCAGGCUCAACCUGUGUAUGGUACUUGAUACUUGAAAGCUGGGAUGCGGUAGAGGUGAAGGGAAUUCCUGGUGUAGCGGUGAAAUGCUUAGAGAUCAGGAGGAA